rnacentral:rRNA from 1 species
GAUGAACGCUAGCUACAGGCUUAACACAUGCAAGUCGAGGGGUAACGAGAGGAAAGCUUGCUUUCCUUGUCGACGACCGGCGCACGGGUGAGUAACGCGUAUCCAACCUGCCCCCAACUAGGGAAUAACCUUGCGAAAGUAAGACUAAUACCCUAUAAUUUCCUCAGAUGUCAUCUGACGAGGAAUAAAGAUUUAUCGGUUGUGGAUGGGGAUGCGUCUGAUUAGCUUGUUGGCGGGGUAACGGCCCACCAAGGCAACGAUCAGUAGGGGUUCUGAGAGGAAGGGCCUCCACAUUGGAACUGGGACACGGUCCAAACUCGUACGGGAGGCAGCAGUGAGGAAUAUUGGUCAAUGGGCGGAAGCCUGAACCAGCCAAGGAGCGUGCAGGAUGACGGCCCUAUGGGUUGUAAACUGCUUUUAUACAGGAAUAAAGUUAGCCACGUGUGGUUAUUUGUAGGUACUGUAUGAAUAAGGACCGGCUAAUUCCGUGCCAGCCGCCGCAGUAA